UGUCUUAAUCAGAGCGCUUAAACUAGUCUU
rnacentral:piRNA from 1 species